CGAAGGGGCGUAGCGUUGCUCGGAAUGACUGGGCGUAAAGGGACGGCGUAGGCGGACAUAUUAGUCAGGCGUGAAAUUCCUGGGCGUUAACCUGGGGGCGUGCGUUUGUAUACGGUGUGUCUUGAGUGGGGAAGAGGGUCGUGGAAUUCCCAGUGUAGAGGUGAAAUUCGUAGAUAUUGGGAAGAACACCGGUGGCGAAGGCGGCGACCUGGUCCUUGACUGACGCUGAGGCGCGAAAGCGUGGGGAGCAAACAGGAUU
rnacentral:rRNA from 1 species